UCGUCAUCGUUCUAGACUGCAUAAGCCCCAGUUUGAGACAGGGGUCUCGGGGUGCUGCACCCCUCUAGCCUAUGGGAGAGUAAUGCUUAAGAAUCUGCCUAUUAGUGGGGGACAACAUUUCGAAAGGAAUGCUAAUACCGCAUACGUCCUACGGGAGAAAGCAGGGGAUCUUCGGACCUUGCGCUAAUAGAUGAGCCUAAGUCGGAUUAGCUAGUUGGUGGGGUAAAGGCCUACCAAGGCGACGAUCUGUAGCGGGUCUGAGAGGAUGAUCCGCCACACUGGGACUGAGACACGGCCCAGACUCCUACGGGAGGCAGCAGUGGGGAAUAUUGGACAAUGGGCGCAAGCCUGAUCCAGCCAUGCCGCGUGUGUGAAGAAGGCCUUAUGGUUGUAAAGCACUUUAAGCGAGGAGGAGGCUACUUUAGUUAAUACCUAGAGAUAGUGGACGUUACUCGCAGAAUAAGCACCGGCUAACUCUGUGCCAGCAGCCGCGGUAAUACAGAGGGUGCAAGCGUUAAUCGGAUUUACUGGGCGUAAAGCGCGCGUAGGCGGCUAAUUAAGUCAAAUGUGAAAUCCCCGAGCUUAACUUGGGAAUUGCAUUCAAUACUGGUUAGCUAGAGUGUGGGAGAGGAUGGUAGAAUUCCAGGUGUAGCGGUGAAAUGCGUAGAGAUCUGGAGGAAUACCGAUGGCGAAGGCAGCCAUCUGGCCUAACACUGACGCUGAGGUGCGGGGACGACGUCAAGUCAUCAUGGCCCUUACGGCCAGGGCUACACACGUGCUACAAUUGUCCGUUCAAAAGGGAGGUGAUUAAGGAUUGGAAGAUACACUCACCAACCCGCUUCGAGGUCGGAAUGGUUUCUGCAACUUGCCCCCCUGAAGUCGGAAUCGGUUGUAAAGGGGGAUCCGGAUGCCCCGGUGAACCCCUUCCCGGGCCUGUUCCACACCACCCCGCACGCCAAGGGUUUCGGCGACCCCAGAGGUAUCCCCGCCAACCUCAAAGAGGUCCUUUUUGGCCGGCUCGAUGCCCCCCUUUCAUACACUGGAGAGAUCCAGAGUUGUGCCUGGACUCCCGUAU
rnacentral:rRNA from 1 species